rnacentral:lncRNA from 10 species
CAUUUUGAAUGCUGUGUUGAAUUAAUGUAUAAUAAACAUACUGCAGUUUGCUAUCAGGAAUUCUCGAUGAAAUGCAGGAAGUCAGUUCUUUGCUUAUGCAUUAGCAUCGCCAGUCUUGCUCUGUUUAAUUUUAGCUAUUUAUAAAAUUGCUCUACUGACAGUCCUCUUUAUUUUAAUGUGAUUGUUUUAAGGUUAACCAGAAAUGGUAUGGUGUGCUUCCUGAAGUAGGUUAUAAGUGUUGAUGUAGGAAUAUGGGUCCCUCACAAAAAUCCCUUUCACCACUAGCCACCUGCGAUCGGGACACUCAGCUGCCUAAUUGGGUAAAUCAUGGUGUCCCCUGUGGGGUAGGGGCCUGCAAAAUCACUGUGUAUACCUGGAGUUGUUGAGUAUCUUAUAAAGCAGUUGGAUCACAGAGGACUUGUAAAAGAAAACAAUGUUGCUGACAGAAGUAGAAUCUGAAAGCAGUUGCAGCAAUUGUCACUUAAGUCUCAGACAAAGGACAACUGUAUUUAAAAUGUUCUGUAUUCUUUUCUAAUAGGUUAGUUGCUUUUUAUGAUAUUUAUUUACAUAACAACUUACAAGACUUUGGGCUUCAAAGUGGUUCCAGGUCUUAAAUACUGAAGAAGUAGAGUGAAUUGUCCAAUAGCACCCACAUUUACGACUAAAGGGAGAAGCAAGAGAGCCUUCAAAAAGGAAAAAGGUAGCCAGCAAGUGCAGCCCCAGCAAUUCAGUUGGCUGAGGAGGGAGGAUUGCUUGAGCCCAGGAGUUCUAGGAUGUAGUGUGCUAUUCCAAUUGGGUGUCCGCACUAAGUUUGACAUCAAUAUGGUGACCACCUGAGAGCAGGGGACCACCGGGUUGCCCAAGGAGGGGUGAACCGGCUCAGGUUGGAAAUGGUGCAGGUGAAAACUCCUGCACUGAUUCGUAGUGGGAUUGCAUCUGUGAACAGCCACUGCACUCCAGCCUCAGCAACAUAGUCAGAACCCUGUCUUUAAAAAGAGACAAAAACAAAAACAAAAAAAGAAAGAAAGAAAGAAAGAAAGAAAGAAAGAAAGAAAGAAAGAAAGAAAGAAAGAAAAAAGCUAGUAUUAUUUUGAUAUCCAUCAGCUUAGGCUGUCAUAACAAAGUACCAUACACUGGGUGGCUUAAACAACAGAAAAUUAUUUCUCAGAGUUUUGGAGGCUGGAAGUCCAAGAUCAGGGUGCCCAUGGUUAGGUUCUGGUGAGGGCUGUCUGCCUGGUUUGCAGACAAUGGCCCUUGCCCUGUGUCCUGACAUGGCAGAGAGAGGGAGUGAGGUCUCAGGCUUCUCUUCUUGUAAGGACACUAAUCCUAUUGAUUCAGGGCUUCAUGGGCUUAUGAUCUCAUUUAACCUCGAUUUCUUCUUCAAAGGCCCUAUCUCCAAAACAAUCACAUUGGGGGUUAGGGCUUCAACAUAAACAUUGUUUUUUGAGGGGAGAUGAUUCAGUCCAUACCAUACUAUAAGUUUUAAAACAGGAGUUCAUAAUGUUUUUUGGUGCCAAAAAACUUGUGGAGUCCCUCCCAGAAUAAAGUUUACAAACAUAUACAUUACAUAGGAUUAUGAAGAAAACUAAUUAAAUGUAAAAGCAGUUGGCAAAUUGUUAAAACACUGUGAUACAGAAACAGAUGUGUUUCUUUAUUAUUAAUACAUUAAAUAACAUGCUCUAGUGGUUUCUCUAAUAACCACCAUAAUUUUGAUAUAAUGAUGGAUAAAACUGAUAUUUUGAAAUAUUUGUAGUAACUGUAAUAGAAUUUGAAAAUGUCUGUGAUUUUUAUUGGUGACAAAUUACAGGUAUUGCUAAUACUAUUGUGAUUGAUUCUUAACAUUCAUAAUGGAAGAAAAUGCAAAAUUUUAGUUAGAAGUUACUAAAAUGAAAGCACAAUUUUUGUUUUUAUCCAAAUUUGAA